rnacentral:tRNA from 1 species
GGGCUCGUAGCUCAGCUAGGUAGAGCGGCAGGCUCUUAACCUGUUGGUCAGGGGUUCGAACUGCAACUUGCUGUGCAAGUUGCUCGAAAAUCCCCUCGAGCCCG